rnacentral:rRNA from 1 species
CCUACGGGUGGCAGCAGUGAGGAAUAUUGGUCAAUGGGCGGGAGUCUGAACCAGCCAAGCCGCGUGAGGGAAGAAGGUACAGCGUAUCGUAAACCUCUUUUGUCAGGGAACAAAGGCGGGGACUAGUCCCCGGAUGAGGGUACCUUAAGAAAAAGCAUCGGCUAACUCCGUGCCAGCAGCCGCGGUAAUACGGAGGAUGCGAGCGUUGUCCGGAUUUAUUGGGUUUAAGGGGUUCGAAGGCGGCCUGUUAAGUUAGCGGUAAAAGCCCGGGGUUAAACCCCGGCGUGCCGGUGAAACUGGCGGGCUGGAGAUGGGGAGAAGUACGCGGAAUGCGCGGUGUAGCGGUGAAAUGCUUAGAUAUCGCGCAGAACCCCGAUUGCGAAGGCAGCGUACCGGCUCCAAACUGACGCUGAGGCACGAAAGCGUGGGUAUCGAACAGGAUUAGAUACCCGGGUAGUC